UUACCAAAAACAUCACCUCUAGCAAAAACAUCACCUCUAGCAUAAUAAGUAUUAGAGGCACUGCCUGCCCAGUGACAUCCGUUCAACGGCCGCGGUAUCCUGACCGUGCAAAGGUAGCAUAAUCACUUGUUCUCUAAAUAAGGACUUGUAUGAAUGGCCACACGAGGGUUUUACUGUCUCUUACUUCCAAUCAGUGAAAUUGACCUUCCCGUGAAGAGGCGGGAAUGCCUUAAUAAGACGAGAAGACCCUAUGGAGCUUUAAUUAACUAGCCCAAUAAGGACAAAUUACAACCCACGUGGACAUAACCUCCCCUUAUAUGGGCUAACAAUUUAGGUUGGGGUGACCUCGGAGCAUAAAAAAUCCUCCGAGUGAUAAAUACCAAGACUAACAAGUCAAAGCAUUAUAUCACUUAUUGAUCCAAAUCUUGAUCAACGGAACAAGUUACCCUAGGGAUAACAGCGCAAUCCUAUUUAAGAGUCCAUAUCGACAAUAGGGUUUACGACCUCGAUGUUGGAUCAGGACAUCCUAAUGGUGCAGCAGCUAUUAACGGUUCGUGUCAGCAAUGCUACGUGAUCUGACUUCAGACCG
rnacentral:rRNA from 1 species